CGGGGCGUAGCUCAGCCUGGUAGAGCGCUUCGUUCGGGACGAAGAGGCCGGAGGUCCGAAUCCUCUCGCCCCGACCA
rnacentral:tRNA from 1 species